CACCAGUCCUGCCUUUUGGGGACAAGAAGCUGUGAUUAGGAAAAGAGGCAGUGGGCUAGCCCCCGGAAAGUGCUGAUGAGCUCCCUGAAGAAUCGGGCCGUUAGGCACACAGGAUUGCAGUGUGUGCUGAACCAUCCCCGGCCUGUUUCCAGGUAAAAAGACAUCGUGGGAGAUGAACUCUAACACCAUUGGGCCCACAGUACUGCAUGCGGUCAGUUUUCCUGGAAGCCUUGCAGAGCAGGAAGGGCUCCAGAGCUGUUCAGUCCCUCCUUCUUCUCAGGACUUGAACAUCAGUUGAUGCAUGUCUGCUGCCCGAUGGACGGCUCCCACUGGACUGGCUUUGCUCUCAGUCCCGAUUCUUGCAUCAACAGCACCUGGGGGACACCAGCCCCACUAAAGACGUGCUUCUCAUCAAACCUAAGAAACCUUAACACCUACCUCCCUUCACAUGGAAGAUGGACUUCACUUUGCCACUCUAUAAGACACUCUUGUCUCUGAAGAUGGUUGUGAGGAGUCUUGACUCAGGUCAAGGGUGAAAUCGACACUUGGUCUGGAUGAGCACUCGGGUGCACUAGCCUGGGUUAUCAGAGGGAGUCUGGCCGGCCCAGGAAUCCUGUGUCUGGUGAACGGAGGGCAUUGAGGCUACAGCCCUCAGGCUGACUCCAUGCCCUGGAGGGACACUAGGAAGUCAGGUCAGAAACAUGGCCAGCUCAGUUCCCCUGUCCUGAGCAUGCUAGGGAGGUGACAUGGGGUGGGGUUACCUGUAGAUAUGAGAGGUCAAGGUGCAGCAACCUAUAUCCAGGUUCUAGAUGGCAGGAGUAUCCUGACCACCUCCCAUCCCCCAAGGCUGGGCUCAGACACACUAUGGUGGCCUGCUGGACACUCAGCUCCUUCUGAUGGAGGUAAGGGCUUCCUCUGUGGCUCUCACAGAAUCCAACUGUCUCCUUUCGUGGAUACCUUGGCCACUUCCUGAUCCCCAUCCAGGUCCUCCAUAGGUGUUGUUGACCAUCUCAGCCAAGGUGUUGAUUCACAAAAAAACCAGCAAGCUUUUACCUGUGUCCACCCUUACAACAGAAAGUCACCCCAGACAGGAACAUACUCUUCCUUUUGAAACAGGAUCUGCUUCAUGAGGAGGGACACCCAUCGAUAGUGUCUGCUUCAUGAGGAGGGGCAACCAUGACCCUGUGUGUGCCUGUGCACGAGCGUGAGUGUGUGAGUGUGCACAGUGGAGGUCAGAGGACAAGUUCUGGUGUCGGUUCUUGUCGUUCGACUUAUUUGAGGCAGGGUCUCUUGUUCACCCUUGCACAGAGUACAUCAGGCUGUCCCAUCAGCUCCCAGGGAAUUCUCACAGUUUCACCUCCAUCUUCCCAUAGAAACACUGGACUUAGGCACUCAUGCUAGGCAGCUGGCUUUUCUAUGGGUUCUAGAGAUUUGAACUCAGGUCCUCACACUUGCACAGCAAGUGUUUUUAUUCACUGUGUCGUCUUCCCAACAUGUACCUUUGCUCUUGAGCUAUGGUGACAGACAAAUUGCUUAUAAAAGUCAAGUUCAGUGAGUAUGAUUGCCCCCUAACUUCAGCCCUAUGAUGUACAAACUAUGAUCUCAGCUUACAGAUGGGAAAACUGAGGGUCUGAAAAGUUAAAUAAAUUAACCAUCUUUAACAGUG